rnacentral:rRNA from 1 species
UACAGAGGGUGCGAGCGUUGUUCGGAAUUACUGGGCGUAAAGCGCGCGCAGGCGGCCUUUUAAGUCUGACGGUGAAAUGCCGGGGCUCAACCCCGUGCCCGCCGGAGAUACUGGGAGGCUGGAGACGAGUAGAGGCAAGCGGAAUUCCGGGUGUAGCGGUGGAAUGCGUAGAGAUCCGGAAGAACACCGGAGGCGAGGGCGGCUUGCUGGGCUCAUGUCUGACGCUGAGGCGCGAAAGCGUGGGGAGCGAACAGG